GCUCCGGCAGCCUAGUGGUUAGAGCGACAGCCUCGGAUGAUGGAGGUCACGGGUUCAAACCCCUGCCGAGUCA